AAAAAUUUCAACAUCACAAUAUUCAUAAUAUAAAGUUAACUUUCUGGAGUUGGAAGAGUGAUACCAGGAUGCAGCCGCUAAGAUGUCUUUUCGUACUACUUCUAGCAAUAUUGGCCACCACAGUGCUGUGUUAUCCUGGCAAGGAAAUUCUGCGACAGGGCUCGGUGAGUUAAAAUUAUUUAUGAAUUAUGUGAUUAAAUUAUGAGUCACGCUAGACCGGGCCGGGG